rnacentral:rRNA from 1 species
AGUGAACGCUGGCGGUAGGCCUAACACAUGCAAGUCGAACGGCAGCACAGUAAGAGCUUGCUCUUACGGGUGGCGAGUGGCGGACGGGUGAGGAAUACAUCGGAAUCUACUUUUUCGUGGGGGAUAACGUAGGGAAACUUACGCUAAUACCGCAUACGACCUACGGGUGAAAGCAGGGGAUCUUCGGACCUUGCGCGAUUGAAUGAGCCGAUGUCGGAUUAGCUAGUUGGCGGGGUAAGGGCCCACCAAGGCGACGAUCCGUAGCUGGUCUGAGAGGAUGAUCAGCCACACUGGAACCGAGACACGGUCCAGACUCCUACGGGAGGCAGCAGUGGGGAAUAUUGGACAAUGGGCGCAAGCCUGAUCCAGCCAUACCGCGUGGGUGAAGAAGGCCUUCGGGUUGUAAAGCCCUUUUGUUGGGAAAGAAAAGCAGCAGGUUAAUACCCCGCUGUUCUGACGGUACCCAAAGAAUAAGCACCGGCUAACUUCGUG